GAAUAUAAUAUACAAGUUUCACUUUUUGAAUGUAAUUAGUGAAAUAAAUCAACUUUUUGAUGAUAUUCUAAUUAUAUGACCAGCACCUGUAUGUUUUGCUUGUUUGUUUUUUCAGACAUCUGAGCAGCAGGAUGCUGGAGAGGGACUUUCAAAUCAAGAAGCUUCCAAGUCCCGACGUCACAGACAGACAGUGUUGAUCCCAGCAGCUGGACCAGACAUUUCAAUAAAGGAUCUGAGAGUGAGGGCACGAAUUUGACCCGGCUGUGGGUGCAGUGAAAGAAGAGAAGGAACCAGAGAAAAAGAAGAAGAAAUUCAACUGGAGCCAUGACAAGAGCAGCGAUCCCACUUAAGCAGCACCAUCUGGAUGGAGUGUGAUUGGAGGGCUGCCCAGUGUUAAAAGCUAGUGUGAGCUGCGCCUGGAGCUUCAGUUACAUUUGAUUUAUGUAAUUUUAAACUUAGCUGCUUUUGGGUUAAUAGAGCAGGGAAUGUAAGUAGCUUUUAUUCAUCAUAUGAGACAUGGUUUCAAAACAGCUCUUUCUUAUUUGUUUUUGUAUUUUAAUAAUUGGCAUCAGAAUAUAUGCACUAGAUAUAAAAUUUUGACAA
ensembl:lncRNA